AUAAUAUCUCUAUUAGAACUAUAGAAACAACAUCUCUAUUAGAACUAUAGAAACAUAAUAUCUCUAUUAGAACUAUAGAAACAUAAUAUCUCUAUUAGAACUAGAAACAUAAUAUCUCUAUUAGAACUAGAAACAAGAACAAUAGAAACAACAUUGAAUGUAAACUAAGACAGUUUUUCCAAAAGCACUGAUAUUAACAUAUUGUAUGCAGUAAAACAUGUUCAUGGAAUUGGCCUAUUUUCUGUACUAACUUUUCCCCUACUAAUUAUUUCCCAUACUAACUUCACUUUUACUUGAUGUUUGUCUUUAUGUUUGUCUUUACAAAAGUUUGUCUUUCCCAUAUUAUCGUGUCAAGUCCAUCUUAUCAUUUCCGGGACAGUCUCCAUUGCUUUCUAGCCACUGACGGCUUCUUCUCUGCUGGCCAGUUCACAUCUGCCACUUUCACACAUUCAGGUGGUCCUCCAAUUACUUCCAGAUACUGUGGUAAAUCUGAGAUGACCUUUUGUUCACUGGCAGCAGGUAUUGCAUCAGACACACAAUCUGAACAUCCCCAUACCAGUUUAUCAUCUCUUGGGCUUGUUGACUCCAUUCCUGUGCAUGCACUUUGACCUUUUGUUCUUUGACCUCCAGUAUAACGCCAGGGUAUGGUUGUUCAUCCUAGUUCACAAUGCACCACUGUCCAGUGUGGUGAGCCUCGAUGACAUCUGGACGAAGUGGAGCUGAGGUAUCUGGGUCGAUGACAUCUGGACGAAGUGGAGCUGAGGUAUCUGGGUCGAUGACAUCUGGACAAAGUGGAGCUGAGGUAUCUGGGUCGGCGACAUCUGGACAAAGCGGAGCUGAGAUAUCUGGGUCGGCGACAUCUGGACAAAGUGGAGCUGAGAGACCAUGGCCAUUAGCCGGGGCUGUGAUUUCUUGGAGUCUAUAACAUGGGCAAUCCCACAUGCUAUGCGCUGCUUGGCAGAGACAACUGUCUCUGUAUUUGAGGAUGCCAGGCACGAUACACUUUCCUUUUAUGGUGACCAGAGGUACCCCAGAAAUCCUCUGUGCCUUACUUUCCACCUCUGCCUCACUGACAUAAUACAACUGUAUUUGAGUGCCAGAGUCCCUUACCUCCCGAUAGAAAUACAUUGUGUCCGUUAUGUCUUUUCAGUGGUGGACCAAGAGGUCAGCUGACCCGCCCACUCCAACACUGUUUCUCCUGCUCUCAACAUCUGUGUUAUUUCUGUCUGACCCACCAUUGCUUUCACUCAUGUCUUGUUCCACUUUCUGUGACAACAUUCAUUCUUUUUUUUUUCAACUCUCUAAAACCUUUCACUAAAUCCUGUGUUUUUUUCCAAGGUAGGUUGCUCGGUGAUCCAGGUCAGCAUCCCUGCGCGGUCAAAUC
ensembl:lncRNA